rnacentral:rRNA from 1 species
UACGUAGGGUGCGAGCGUUAAUCGGAAUUACUGGGCGUAAAGCGUGCGCAGGCGGCUUUGCAAGACAGAUGUGAAAUCCCCGGGCUCAACCUGGGAACUGCAUUUGUGACUGCAAGGCUAGAGUACGGUAGAGGGGGAUGGAAUUCCGCGUGUAGCAGUGAAAUGCGUAGAUAUGCGGAGGAACACCGAUGGCGAAGGCAAUCCCCUGGACCUGUACUGACGCUCAGGCACGAAAGCGUGGGGAGCAAACAGG